UACGUAGGGUCCGAGCGUUGUCCGGAAUUAUUGGGCGUAAAGAGCUCGUAGGCGGUUUGUCGCGUCUGCUGUGAAAACUGGGGGCUCAACCCCCAGCCUGCAGUGGGUACGGGUAGACUAGAGUGCGGUAGGGGAGAUUGGAAUUCCUGGUGUAGCGGUGGAAUGCGCAGAUAUCAGGAGGAACACCGAUGGCGAAGGCAGAUCUCUGGGCCGUAACUGACGCUGAGGAGCGAAAGCAUGGGGAGCGAACAGG
rnacentral:rRNA from 1 species